rnacentral:snRNA from 1 species
AUGAACAGAGGUCGUAUUGGGGCUGAGGCUGAGGUUGGAGUAGAUUCCUAGGUGCAAGCGCAGUACAGAACGCUUGUUUUUCCAGAGUUCUCGCCCAAUGCGACGCCCCCUUUGUGCAUAUGAUUGGGAAGAGGGCUAGUAGCCACCUAGACUCAGGCUGGCUACAAAUCAAA